rnacentral:rRNA from 1 species
CCUACGGGAGGCAGCAGUGAGGAAUAUUGGUCAAUGGACGAGAGUCUGAACCAGCCAAGUAGCGUGAAGGAUGACUGCCCUAUGGGUUGUACACUUCUUUUAUAUGGGAAUAAAACGUUCCACGUGUGGGAUGUUGUAGGUACCAUAUGAAUAAGGAUCGGCUAACUCCGUGCCCGCAGCCGCGGUAAUACGGAGGAUCCGAGCGUUAUCCGGAUUUAUUGGGUUUAAAGGGAGCGUAGGUGGAUUGUUAAGUCAGUUGUGAAAGUUUGCGGCUCAACCGGAAAAUUGCAGUUGAAACGGGCAGUCUUGAGUACAGUAGAGGUGGGCGGAAUUCGUGGUGUAGCGGUGAAAUGCUUAGAUAUCACGAAGAACUCCGAUUGCGAAGGCAGCUCACUGGACUGCAACUGACACUGAGGCUCGAAAGUGUGGGUAUCAAACAGGAUUAGAUACCCGAGUAGUC